CUCAUCAGUAAACACUUCAGCUGGUAUGAUUCCUUGCCUGAUGGUUGACCUUCCCUAUUUCUGUUUCAGUGCCCUUUGCUGUGUAAUGAACCACCCCAAAUUCAGUGGCUUAAAAUGAUAAUGAUUUAUUAUUUCUCAUGACCUGGCGGGCCAAGGAUUCAUGCAGGUCUUAACUAGGUAGUUAUUCAUCUGGCACAUGGCAUCAUCUGGCAGUUACUCAGCCUCAUGCAGAAGACAGCUGAGCUGGCCAGGAGGAUCAAAAAAGGCUUUGCUCAUAGAUUUGGAGAUUUUGAGCCUCCGUGAUUUCUCUUUUCACUCAUGACAUUGGCUUCCUCACAGCAUGGUAGUUUCAGGGCAGUUGAACUUAAAACACAACUAGCAUUUAAGAGAGAUGAAACAGAAACUGCCAGACCUCUUAAGGCAUGGCUGGGAGGUCCCACAAUGCCACUUCUGCUAUCUUUAGUGAUCAAAGCCAGCCACAAGGCCAGUCCAGAUGAAAGAGGAAGGGAAAUGGACUCUACCUCUUGCUAAGAAGAACAGCAAAGAAUUUGUGCCCAUCAGUGAUCCACUAAACUGGUGGUAGAAAUUUCGUCUAAGGUAAAUUCCUAGAAUUGGAACUACUGCCUCAGGUUAUUCAUUUUUAAAACUUGAAACAUGUCCAAGUGGCCCUCCGCUCAGUUUUACCCAAUUAGCAUUCUCAUUUUCAGUGUUUGCCAAUCAACUUCUCUGUGCCUUCACCAACACUGGGUAUCAUUACCCUUUUUAGUCUUUUCCGGUUUAAAGAAGAGGAAACUCUGAUUGUUGAAAUUGUUUUCCCAUUUGUGAAUACCAUUGAGGCUGAACAUUUUUCAUGUGUUUAUUGGCCUUGUCUAGAUGUUCUUUUUUCAAAUUGCCUAAUCUUGUACAUUGCCCAUUCUUCUUUUGGCUAUUCUUGGUUUGAGUGUUGAUGCUGGUCUGAAAUCUGGGUUAUUCAAGUGUAAUCAACCUCAGACAACCCUACUGGGUUUUUAAAUAUUAUGAAUUACUCUUGCCCAAAAUAAUCUAUCUUCAUUUCCAUUUGUUUAUUCUUUAUUUCCCUGGAUCAUCACCUUUUUCAGUCUUUUCUUAGAUUCACAACAUUAGAAAUGCAAAUCACUUCAGUUUUCAUUUGAGGCCAUUGACACCAAAAGAAGAAAGGGUCUUGUCCAGAACCCAUAGGAUUAGCCUUACAGCUUCUGGCCCAGACAACAACAACAAUGCAUUUAGCCCCUUUACCACAAGGUUUAUGUUCUUAGAUCUGGCGCUAAAAAAUUCAAUCUGUCUGUAACUUUUGCCUGGAUUGUAAAUUCUCCCUGCCUCUAACUGGCUCUACCUCUUUCUAUGUGGCAUUUGAUAAAUUAUGUUCACUUUAGGGCCUUAGAUUCUCCAGUUAAGCAGGAGCAUUGAACUUCUUUUUUAAGAUAUUAUUUCUUUAUUUUGAGUGAAGGAGAGAGCACGAGCAGAGGCAGAGGGAGAGAGAGAAUCUCAAGCAGACUCCACACUGAGCACAGAGCCUGUCACACCCUCUCACUACCCUGAAAUCAUGACUUGAGCCAAAAUCAAGUGUCGGAUGCUUAACUGACUGAGCCACCCAGGGACCCCAGGAGCAUGGAACUUCUGCUAGAUGACUCUAAGGCAUAUUUUCUCUAUCGAAAUCUGUUAUUUAAGAGGGGCAUUUAUAGAGUGUGCAUUAGGGGAAAGCAGCAUAGGUGGAAGUCAGGCCUUUAAGAAAUGGGCUUCAGCCUAAAAGGUCUAUUUUCGAAGGUAACUUAAUCAAAGCUUUUUUAAAAUAGUUUUUAAUUAUAGGUUUGAAACUUUGUGUUAUUUGUAAUACCUUUUUAGAAGCAUGAAAAUAGCAUUUCUCUCUGUACCAACUUUGUGCUUUUCCAUUUGGUAAACACUGAUUUUAUUUCUCUCUGUGCCUGUAGGAGUAAACCAAGCCAACUCAGCACUUCCUGUUUACCUCCUGGUUCUAUGUAUCGUAGAUGGUGACAAACCUGAUCCCAAAAUAGGCUCCCUUGGUUGACUUCUGCAUUUUCUGGUUAGGCAACCAGCCUGUCAAUACUUGAACAAUGAGUUUAGCUAUCGAAGCCUUGUUCUGACAUUACCCCUUCAAAUUGUGGGUGGAAAGUCACUUGAUGUAAUAGUAGGGAUAAUAUAAUAGUAGGCUUUAUAUUUAAGUGGGGGCAUCACACAGUACCUUUCACUGGAGAAUAUCAAAACAUUUUCAGCUUUUAAGCUUGGAAUAUGUGACAUGAGUGAACACAAAGAUAGCAAAUAAGCGGAUUUCCUCUGGAAAGUCUCAGUGCUCCAAAUAUCUAUUUUUUACGGAAGAAAAUUGAGUUUUAUGUGUAUUGAGUGACUAAAGUGUAAGCCUAGAAAUUUUAUGUUUCCAUCAUAGUUUAUUCUGCUUAGCAUAAAUCAGUAGAGCCUACCAUAAUUUACCAUUUACUAGCACUUUUUCAGUUGUAUUACACUCAUGUCAGACACACCUUCAUAUAAGUCCCUCCGGAUCAAUAGUGUAGAAAUUCCUCCACUUCCGACCCCUUUUCCUCUCAACACUUAUGGAAAUAUAUGCUAAUUGGAACAGAAGCAGCCUACCCAACUAAUAGGGUUCGACCACUCUUAACACAAGAUUAAUGAGAUAGAAGUUUAAGGAAAAAAUAACAUUUCUCAAGCAGUAAGGGUGUAGAUGCCAAGUAAAAGCCAACACCCCUCCUGGAUCCGUCAGAUCCCAAGCUUUGUUUUCCCUUGACUUCACUUAAAGGAUUUAAAGAGGAAAUCUUGUACAUCCAGCCUUGCUAUGGCCUCUGUUGCCACCCUCUGGCUCAGCAUAGCUGGUAUACCUCCCCUGAGGCCUCCGCUCAGCAGUCACCAUUGUGGAAAACGAGACCACAGAGUCAAGAUUAAGACUCUAAAGAUUUCUAGAGUGAAAUCUUGCCCAUUGCUUAGGAGGGCAACGUGCCAGAAGGAAUGAUGAGGCACAAGCAUACUGCAGGCGGCCACCUGCAUUCACGGCAGCUUUUGGAGGUGUGUGAUUGACAUUGAGGAAAGAGAGCAUUCAGAAACCAUGGCUAUUGAAGGUCACAGAUACUGGCAAGAAGUUAAGUUUGUAAAAUAUUCUACAUUACCGAUGUGUGACUGAACCACAGGUCAGCAGACAUCAGAAGGUAUCAGAGGAUUAGAGAACAGUGUUCGCUAAGAGAAAGAAAACGCUAAGUAUCUUGUCAAUUUGCUGACACUGUAAUUGGCAUGCUGUGUGACAGAUCUGUAUUACUGGGGAUGAGGGGCUAGUUUCAUCUUAGAUCUCCACCUCUCUCGGGGUCCAAAGGCAGCCUUCACCUGUGGCACAUGCUCAAUUCUUCCGUUCCUGACCAAUCACACUGGAAAUAAAUUUUACACAUUUAAAAAGUGAAAUUCUUUCAUAUCUAGUUUCCAGGUCUUGGUUUCCAAGUAUCCUCCACUGGCAUUCAGGCUCCUUGGAGAAACAGAUGAUUCAGAACUGGGGCAGGGAAAGAUGUGAGGAACAUCUUUGAGCCUGGAACAUCCUAAUUAAACAGAAAAUGAGAAAUUGCUCCUGAACUAUAGGAACAUGUCAAAAAUGGGGGCUUGAAGAAGCUCCCACUUGCCAGAUCUGGGACAAUUUGAUUGUCCAAAUAAGUAAUGAUAGUAAGGGGUUAUCACCCAUAGAAUAAUAUAAAUAUCCUUGAGUCCAUACAAUAUAAAUAAGUAAAAAAUAUAUAUACAUAUAUAUAGAAGAAAGCAAAAGCUCCUCUUUUGCUGUAGAAUGCCAACUAAUAAAUAGAGAUGGAAUUGUGGCAUCAAAAGGGGAGACUGAUAAGGGAUGGAUAUUUACAUAGUCUCAAAUCAUCUUCCCUCAAAUUACUCAUUAAUUACAAAGGAAAGCCAGUUACCGAAAAAAAAA
rnacentral:lncRNA from 1 species